rnacentral:tRNA from 1 species
GUGUUGUAGCUAAAUGGUAGAGCACUUUCCUAACUUGUGUGAGGCCCUGGGUUCAAUUCUCAGCACUGCACA